UCUAUUUCAGUAUAGCAAAAAUACUUUUCCCUGUUAUAGUGAUAUAUAUUCUGUUUUUCAAGUAUACUUAAGGUGCUCUUCAGAGUUUUGAUCUUGGUGUUUCCUAAGUCACCUGGAGCAUUGAACUGAUACUAGAAUAUCCACAGCGAGUUUUGUAUCAAUAGAGUUUGUUCUUGCACAAGGUGAUUAUGUUGCUGAUUGUAGAAAAGGAAGGGCAUAAAAAGGUGUGUUACCUUUCUAAAAUCAAGUGUAGCAAUGAAUAAGCACUCAGAAAACACGAAUAAAGUGAAGAAUGUGUGUUUGCAGGUUCUGGAUUCUGUAUGGUUUCAUCUUGUAAAGUCUUUAGGAUUUCAUUACUGUUCAGUAAGGGCUUGGGUUGUUCUGUGCUAUUUUUCAUGUGUAGAAACUCAUGCAGAUAAAAGUGAACUUCUGUGAAGUGACUUUUUCCCUGUCUCUUCCAAGUACCAAAUAUUGAGCAGAUUGUCUGUUUCUUUUUGCCAUUAUCUCUACAUCUUUUUAUUUCUCUUUUGAGUCUUCUAGCUUUGAUCCAAACUGAUUUCACCUAAACAGUCCCAUUUUCUUGAAAGGUUUAGCCCUCAUCUUCUGUCUUCCAAAACAAAAAAAAAUUAGGUAAGAGUUUGCUUUUCUGAUGGUACUUGAAAGGGUGAAUCCCUGCUAGAUUUUCACUGGGUGUCCCUAUUGGCAGUAACUCCUACUGACACUUUGUGGUGGCCAGAAGUGCCGUGCCUUCAGUGCAAUGUGAUGGUGUCCGUGGGAGGAGGAGGAUGUCCCAGUCCCUUUCCUUUUCUGGGAAGCUUGUGCCAAAAGCUGGGCACACCUCUGCCAGCCCUUGGGCUGCUGCAGCAGAGCUGUGAGCGCUUUGUUUAUGAGCAUAUGUGCUACAAGGAGUAACGUGAGAGUCAGCUGGAGGCUAUUGCUGCUCCCUGAAAAGCUCUCGAGAGCUUUCAGCGAGCAGCCAUUCCAUUAGCUUCAAGCUUUGGAGGUGUCACUGGCUAUUUGUCUUCCUUCUUUGCAGGAAAUUCCCCCGAUCUUUUUCCGUGUUUCUGCUGUUCCUUUUUCCGAUGAGCUGGUGCCUGCAGGUGCAUGGCACAGCCAGAGGGACUGGAGCCAUGGUGCUCACCUGCAGCCAGCUCCGAUGGGUGCGGAGGCUGCAAACCCCACCCUGUGGGAACAGCAUUUUGUGCACUAUUGAGUAAUUGGGCUGUGGGAAGAGUGUUUCAGCAUCUAAAGCUCUCCAAGUAGGGCACCUCAUGAUCCCUAAAGUAAUGUAAAAUACAUUAGGGACAUGAAUGAAAUGGGAAGCAUAUAUAGCAUAUGUAUUUUUCAGUACAGCUUUUAGUGGCACAGAGAUAGAUGUUUCUAAUGUGUCACUAGACUAAGAUUUGCUUUAGCCAGGUAGCUUGUGUCACUCCAUGCCAGAUGUUGUACAGGAAGGCAAGCUCUAAUAAGGCUUCCAGUGCUCCAUAAGAGGAGAAAAUAAUUCUUUCUAAUCUAGCUCAAGAUGUUAAUCUCUGAAGCACACAGUUACCUGUGCCAGUUUAUUACAACACAUGUAUUUUCAAAGCUAAAUUCUGUUCUUACGCACACGUGACAGUUACUCCCAUACAGACAGGACUAUCCUUCAAGGCAUUUAGUUGUCAGUGAGGCAGAUUGUGUCUUUGUGAGGAAAAGAUUUAAGCAUGGGAUUUUAGUGGUUUUCUUCGUGUCUUGCUGUAGUCUUGUUUCUCUGGUUAAUUGCUUGUCAUUAACAGUGUUUUAAAACUGUUUUUCUCUGGUUUGUAAGAAGGCUCACCUGGUAACAUGCAGUCACCCUUUUUUACAUUUGUGCUCAAUGUUUGUGUUCAGCUCAGUCAUGGCAUUCUUUUCAGUUUGACAUCGUUGUAACACAACACACUCAUUUCAAUGUUUAUCUGCAAGUAUUUGUUUAAUUGCAAAUUACGGUAAUUUAGCAGGCUACUGGUUCAGUUGAAAUUGACUCCAUUCAAAAAGCUCAGGCUAGUAGGGAGAGAAGAGCAUUAUAAAAAAAAAACCAGCUCAAAAGGGAUUUUUGGUUAUGUGCUCUGUUUUGUGAUUGUUUAGAGCUUUUAAUUCUGUUUUGGUUUUAGCAUUUAUUCUGUUCUGGUGUUAGUGAAAACCACAAGAGCUUUCAAAUACCAGUGAGGAUGAGGACUUUGAAACUCUGUGAUGAGUGUUGGUUGGUAGUAGUUUAUUCUAACAGUUAAACUAGAUUUGAAAUGAAAUGUCUUGUCAGUUCAUAGUUAAAUUAUUCAUAACAGAUGCUGAUUUCAAUAAUGUCAUUCUGGAGUUUUUGCAAAAGAGUUAUUUACUCUCUCCAUUGUGACUGGAAUUUCUCUUAGAAUGGCACAGAGUAAAAAGGUGUUUGCAUCAUCUGUCAGCUCAGUUUCAGCAAGCUCAUUAGGGGAAGGGACGGAAAUGCAUCUGAAAGGGGAUUAUUGGGGACGUAUUUUCUCCUAGUCUCCACACAUUUUCUGUCAGAAGUUACACAUUUUGGCACUGAUUCCUGCUCUUGUUCUCUUCCUGCAAAGUGAGGACUUAGCUGCACAUUUGAACAGCUCUGCUUGGGGAACUGGUUCUGUUGGAAGGGAAGGGAGAACUUAAGAUGCAGGGGAGAUGCAAAUGGAAUACCUCUCCUGAGCUUGCACAUCCUGAUACUGAAAUAGGGAUGUGUUCUGUUCCUCCUGGUCUCAGAAAGAGAAUGUUUGGCUGUGUUCAAAUGGUACUUCUGAAUGAAAGGUUUGGGUCAAAUACAAAAAUAAGGAAUUAACACUAUGGUCAAUGCUUUGCAUUUAUUGUCAAUUGGUUCUGUUUGUUUGCACAUAACACCAUACAUAGAAAACAUUGGUUUAUGGGAAGCCACAGCCCUGCUCAGGUGUUUGUGACUUGCAUCUGACCUCACUGACAGCCAGGUAGAAGUACACUUGUUUCCUGGAAGAACUGAGAUUAGGCACAGACCAGCCCUCUAGAAAUCCAGUUUCAAAACGUAUCUAAACAGUGGAAGUGAAAUGUGAAAAUCCUGUCACAUGUAGGCAUGUAUUGAUCCAAAUGCUGAACAUUUAUGCACCUUCUCAGAUCGUGAUUAGGGGUAUGGGAAGUCAUCUCUGCUGUGUUUAUUCACACUUAUGUGAUUGCACAGUCUGGUUUGGGGUCUGAUAUUAAUAUUUUAUUUUUUUUUUUUCUUGUGUAAUUGAGGAAUGUCUUAUCUAAGAGACUGGAAUAAAAGUCAGUGAAAUAUUUUGCUUUGUGAAUGUAUGUACUGCCGAAAUAGUGCUUUUCAUGUGUCUGUCCUUCAUUUGACCUCCUAGGAAAUAUAGGCCAGGGUGUUUGAUAUGUCCAGUUUCCUCCUUCAUACACAUAUAUUGCACAUUUGUCAAAUGCUUUGUGAGGAUAUUGUGGGGUUUUGGGAGAUCACAUGAGAAAUAUAACUUCGUCUGUGCUUUGAGAAAGGUUACUAGAGAACAAAACCCUAACUUAACAGUGGCGGUUCCUCUGUUUAAUUCCUUAUUAAAAAUAAUUGUGCUUUGAAUUUGAAGAAACAUCUGCUCUGUUGUGGAGAGGCACAGGAGUCCAAUCUGUCUGUUUAUUCCUUGGAUGUAUUGAGCUUGUAUACAUCUUGGAGUGCAUAUUUGUGCAAACUCCUCAUCUGUUUAAUCCUUGUAUUAUAAGAAACGCCUUGUGCAUGGUAUCAGGGAGGGUGGAGAAUUUGUGUGACAUGGGGUUGGUAUUUUCUUCCAGGGAGACAGUUUGUGCUGUUACCCAGUGUCAUUUUCUAGAUUGCUCUUAGCUUGUUUUGAAAUUCAUUUGAGUUGUUUGAAUCGGAGAAUUCACUUUUAAGCUCUGCAGUCCUGAAAAUUUCUGUGGAAU